rnacentral:rRNA from 1 species
UACGUAGGGACCGAGCGUUGUCCGGAAUCAUUGGGCGUAAAGAGCGUGUAGGCGGCCACUUAAGUCCUGCGUGAAAUCUUGCGGCUCAACCGCAAGCGGUCGUGGGAAACUGGGUGGCUAGAGUGCGGGAGAGGAGAGUGGAAUUCCUGGUGUAGCGGUGAAAUGCGCAGAUAUCAGGAGGAACACCGGUGGCGAAGGCGGCUCUCUGGGACGGUACUGACGCUGAGACGCGAAAGCGUGGGGAGCAAACAGG